AUUUCCUGCUCUGCUUCUGUAAGUUUGACUAUUUUCGAUUCCUCACAUAAGUGGCAUCAGUUAUUAUUUGUUUUCUGGCUCUCAAUUAUUUCACUUGAUGAAUGUACUCCAGGUUCAUUCAUGUUACUGAAAACGGCAGAAUUCCUCUCCUGUCCCCUGCCCUCACCAUUGAGGACCUAAAGGAUAAUGAAAGGGGGGAAUCUGUGCCCUAAAUAAUCCCUUUUGGCAGUUACUUUCUGUUUUCAAAGUUCAGCUCUCCCUCUCCCUCUCCCUCUCCCUCUCCCUCUCCCUCUCUCUCUCCCUCUCUCUCCACGGUCUCCCUCUCCCUCUCCCUCUCUCUCCACGGUCUCCCUCUCCCUCUCGCUCUCUCUCCACGGUCUCCCUCUCCCUCUCCCUCUCUCUCCACGGUCUCCCUCUCCCUCUCCCUCUCUCUCCACGGUCUCCUUCUGUUGCCGAGCCAAGGCUGGACUGUACUGCCGCCAUCUCCGCUCACUGCAACCUCCCUGCCUGAUUCUCCUGCCUCAGCCUGCCUGGGAUUGCAGGCGCGCGCCGCCAUGCCUGACUGGUUUUUGCUGGAGUGCAGUGGCGUGAUCUCGGCUCGCUACAACCUCCACCUCCCAGCCGCCUGCCUUGGCCUCCCAAAGUGCUGAGAUUGCAGCUUCUGCCCGGCUGCCACCCCAUCUGGGAAGUGAGGAGCGUCUCUGCCUGGCCGCCUAUCGUCUGGGAAGUGAGGAGCGCCUCUUCCCGGCCGCCAUCCCGUCUGGGAAGUGACCAGCGUCUCUGCCCGGCCGCCCAUCGUCUGAGAUGUGGGGAGCGCCUCUGCCCCGCCGCCCCGUCUGGGAUGUGAGGAGCGCCUCUGCCCGGUCGCGACCCCGUCUGGGAACUGAGGAGUGUCUCUGCCCGACCGUCACCCCGUCUGGGAGAAAUUCGACAGGGAAGAAAAGCAAGUCACCAGGGACUGUAUCCUUGAUUAGUGGCUGCGAUCCUGCAACACACUUCAUCCUGCCCAAUCCCCAUCGAUGUUGGCAUUUUCCUACUCAAUUGAUGUCCUCAUAUUUUCCCUGCUCCAUCUACACACCAUAUAUUUCCUCAGGUGCUACAAACAAGUUCCAAACUUUAUUGGACAGGGGAAGAAGUAGAAGAAACAAGAAGUAUUAUUAAAAUGAAUGGAGUUAAAAUGGGACAGAGGUGAGAAGAAGGAGCUAGAAAACUUUAAAUAAAAUGCACCUACAGCUAAGGAAAUAGACAAGCCUUUCUGAUGGCUCUCAUGGCUCUGCGUUUACAUACUACAGAUUCCUCCUGGAUGAAACAGAAGCCGGGCUGCUGAUGCAGCUGGAGGAGGAAGCGAGAGGUUCCAACGGCAUGACUCCUUGGCAUUUCACACAUCCAUAGAAAUAACCCAUCUAUGAUUUCCACAAGACAAUUUUUUCUUAGUCCCCACUUUUCAGUGUAUGCUCAAACACAAUGCAGAAUCCCAAGAAACUGUGAAACUUUUCUGAGAAAAUGUUCUGAUUUGAAUUAGUUAGCUGUAUUCUGCAUUCAGCACAUUUACAAGCUUUGAAAUAUCGGACAUUGGCAAGCAAGCACUAACAUUUUAUAAGUAGCAGUUUGCAUCCAGGUUUGAGGUAAUGUAAUCCAACAUGCACGAGAACACAGUCUAGGUCCCCUUCUCCCUUCUAAGCAUAGCAGAAGGAUUAGGAAUAAUGAAUGGUGUGAAUUUUGCCACCUAGAGGGUUUCAUUUUGAUACCUGUUACACAGUCCUCUUGAGCACUGUGCUCAUUUUUCCUAUUGCUGAGAUAUGGAAAAUAAAACAGUAAUAGGAACGUGCACUGACAACACACCAUGUCAAUGCCCUAAAACGCAAAGUCUUGGAGAGGGUUCCAUAAUGGCUUCAGUAGAAGCAUAGCUCAUUCCCUGCUUUGCUAAUCAAUUUUCUGCAUGCCAUGUUCUCCCCGUUAUACCUCAUCCCUUAGGCUACUCUUGUAGCCCAAGUCAACCACACAGGUGAUAUACACCGGUGGAAUAGGUCAGGGCAAUUUCUUGAGGCACUGGAGGGGGAAAACCUGGGGUCUCUCCUCAGCCCUCCAAUGUGUCCAUAAUGCUCCUCAUGUGCCACAGGCUCCGUGCCACCAUGGAAUUUGAUCUGGAAGUCUAGAGCCCUUUUCAGGGAGUUGUUUAAGCCUUUAGUCCUUGUUUCUUCACUCUUAGUGUAAUUCUGUGUCAUUUUAGAGCCAGAAACACUGUUGUAACAGUCAAAUGUAGUAAUUAAGACUGUAGUAUCAGAUCACUGGCUUUUCAAUCUUUUUCUAAAAGGCUCUAUGAUCUCAGGCAAAUUUACUGAACUCUUCUUGCUGUAAUAUGGGGAGACAGUGGCCCUCACUUCAUAGAUUGUAGUGAGAUUAAAUAAGUUAAUAUAUGUAAAGCUUUAAUAAAGUACUUAGCAAAUAGUAUAUACAGUACUAUGCAAGUUUUAGCUAUAAAAUGACAAUAACAUUUCACAUAAAAAGGUUACUAUUAAUUGUUACUACCAUUUCCUAAUUAUUGAUUUAUGUAAUAAGCUAUGCCCCAAACCUACCAGGUUUAACUCUUGGUAUUCAGUGUGAACUGAAUUAUAUUCCCCUCAAAUUCAUUUAUUGAAACACUAAUGUGCUGGCAUUAGAAGGCAAGGCAUUUGGGAGGUAAUUAGGUCAUGAAGGUAGAAUCCUCAUGAUGGGAUUAAUGCCCUUAUUAGAACAGACUGAAGAGAAAUUUUACUCUGCCAUGAGAGACACAUAAAAAAAAAAAAAAAAGAUGAAGUCUACAAGCCAGGAAGCAAGCUCCCACCAAGAACUGAAUCAGCCAGCACCUUGUUCUUGAAUUUCCCAGCCUCCAGAACUGUGAGAAAUAAAUAUUAGUAGUUCAAGUCACCCAGACGGUGAUAUUUUUUGAUAUUUUGUGACAGCAGCCCAUACAAACCAAGGCUAUCUUCAAGCAAACAAUUUAGAAGUUCACAAUUUUUUUUCUGUCAAAUAUGUGGUGUUCGCAAAUUGAAAGCAUCUUGGAUUUCAGAACAGGCGAUAUCUUCACCAUGCGCACAAUGAAAUCAAUACUCAGAGAAGGCAGAUAAUUCUCCACGAAGCCAGAAAACUAAUAAAUGAACAGUAAGUAACAACACAAUCAAAUACCCUCUUCAUAUAGAUCACUCAUUUUAGAAUUUUGAAAUUGAAUCAUGCACUGUGUAACUGUGCAGUGGAAUGCUUUCUUUUUGUUUUUUUUUCUUGAUUCUCAAUAUAAGAAGCUUAUAAAUUUGUCUUUUUAAUGGUUGGGAUCAUAUCUAAUAAAUUUAAUGGUUGGGAUCAUAUCUAAUGAAUUGGCUGUACUAAUGUGGAAGCUCUGUAGACUCAAUAAUGAUUGAUCUGUUUUCCUCCGCUCUAUGAACUGCUGCCCAGAGGGUGCUCAUGGCAUUAUCCACAUGCAUCCCUGUGCAUCUAAAUUCCUGAAGGAAUGUGUAUUCUAAGGCAAAAUUCAUAAUGGUAAUGUUGAAGAAAUAAAAAGUAGCAUAUAAAAACUCUGAGUAUAAUUAUUUAAAAAAUUUUAUUAGUUCAGGUCAAAAAUUUCAGGAAUAAGGUCAUAUUAAAACUUUGCAUGGAAAAAUUAACUUUAAUUUGUACUAAGCCUUAGAGUUAAGUUUUAAUAAUUUCUAUAAGGAAGAGCAGAACGAACCAAGAUGAAAGUAUCGUUUAUGUGCUAGCACGUUUUUGUUAUCCCAAAAUAAUUAGCAGAAGUAGAUAAAUUAGUUUAAGCUUUUACAGAUCACUGUUCUAACAUAAAGAUGUACACCUGACUCAUAUAGAAAUAAGGGAUUCACUUUGUUCAGCUUUCUGGCAAUGGGGGUUGGUGGGAGGCCCAAUUUACAUUGUGGAAGACGAGUAGCUUUAAAAAAGAAAAGUCAGGAAAUGUCCAAACUUAAUAGAUACUAUGGUAAUGAGUAUAAAGCACAGCAGAGGGAAGAUAAUAAUAAACGUGUAAUUGGCAUCUGUGAAGAGAACAUUAUGACAUUUUAUUACUGGAAAAUUGCAUACCAAAAUCUCUAGAAACAUUGGCCAUCACAUCUUUGAAAACCACAAGCAAGUAUAUUUCAUAUGUGAAUAAAUCCAUAUACUCAGAACCACAGUUUUAUGGUACUUAAGAUGGAUCUUUUGAUAUUGUAAUGAUGAAAUAGGUCUCUCGAGGAAAGAUGAAAAGGUAAAGCCAAGGCUUGUUUAAAAGAUCAAAAAGAGAGAUGCUGUGAAUGCUCUCAGCAAAUAUGAUGCUCUCUUUAUCUGGAUGCAUUCCUGUUCUAAAGAUAAAUGGAUAUUUCUCAAUAAAAAUAUAGAAUCUUAACAUUUUUGAAGUGUUGAGGAAAAACAAAGUGACAACAAAGUAAAGAUAUCUGAAGAUAACAACAGUUCCUUGAUUUCUUAAACAGUGCAAAGAAGUUAAAGUAGAAGGAAGUUAGGCCUUUGCACAUUUAAAUUUCAUCAGGGCAUCUUAUAAAACUUUGGCAAUUUUAUUAGAUCUUGGAUUCCUCACCUAAAAAUAUUAAUGUAUGUACUAAACUAACUUUAAGUUCUCUUCAUGCUCUUUAUUAUAAAAAUAUAGUACAUUAACUUGGAGUACAUCUUAGGGACAUCUUGAAAACCAUAUUUUAAAAAAUAAUCUCUAAUGGAGAAAGAAAGGUGUCUCUCUCUGACAAUACAGGUGAAAUUUGUAAGCUACUUUAGGCAAGUUCCUUCCUCACUUUUCCAAAGGAAUGCAUUUUGAUUUUACAAAAUGCUGUAUAAUCUUAAAAUAUUUUCAUAGAUAUUUCCUAUAUGAAUAGAAUAUUUUUUCCAAUAAAAAUGUGAAGGAAAUGGUGAACCACAGCUAUCAAUUUCUCUCUGAAUACUAUCUUUUAAUUAUACCUUGCUUUCAGCUCCUCCUUAGUAAGACAGAUGUGAACUUAUUAAGCUGGAAACUGAUCCCGAAGUAUAAACUAAUGUUUUGAUGCAGUUAAAGGUUGUAGAUAAUUCUCAGCUGGGGGGAAAUAAGACUGAACCUCCCCCAACCUCCCAGAAGUUACAGUAUUUUACAACUCAACUAAGUCACCAAUCAUAGCAGGUGCCUUAAAUGAUUGAAUAAAUUAGCUCCGUUUACUUUCUCCUAGUAAAUCAAUUCAAAACAGCUUGAUUUUGUACUGUUAGAAAAGUUGAUGUGUCUGGGGCCGGGCGCGGUGGCUCACGCCUGUAAUCCCAGCACUUCGGGAGGCCGAGG
rnacentral:lncRNA from 10 species